GUCUCCAGUAGCCCAGUGGUAGAGCAUCCGACCGGUGUCCUGAAGGUCGUAGGUUCGACUCCUAGCUUGUGUCA